rnacentral:rRNA from 1 species
UACAGAGGUCUCAACCGUUGUUCGGAUUCAUUGGGCGUAAAGGGUGCGUAGGCGGUCGCGCAAGUCGGAUGUGAAAUCUCAGGGCUCAACCCUGAAACUGCAUUCGAUACUGCGUGGCUAGAGUGCUGGAGAGGAGACUGGAAUUUACGGUGUAGCAGUGGAAUGCGUAGAUAUCGUAAGGAAGACCAGUGGCGAAGGCGAGUCUCUGGACAGCAACUGACGCUGAGGCACGAAGGCCAGGGGAGCAAACGGG